UCCCUCGUAGCUCAGUUGGUAAAGAAUCUGCCUACAAUGCAGGAGACCCGGGUUCGAUCCCUGGGUUGGGAA
rnacentral:tRNA from 1 species